rnacentral:sRNA from 23 species
UCGGCACGACAUCGAUGGCGACACCGGCGAGCAGCUGGUGUGUGGAGGCAGUCUGAUGAAUAUCAGCCCGGCGAAAGCCGCGAACAGGUCAGAGACCUGGGGAGCCUUGCAAUAACUCAACAUUUCGCCGCCCCGAUGCACAGAUGUCUGCCG